rnacentral:rRNA from 1 species
GUACACGCUGUGACUAGCAUAUCAAUAAGCGGAGGAAAAGAAACUAACAAGGAUUCCCCUAGUAACGGCGAGUGAAGCGGGAAGAGCUCAAAUUUGAAAUCUUAAAGGGUUUCCCUUUACGAAUUGUAGUUUUAAAGAAGUGUUUUCUGUUGAGGUUUUGGUAAAAGUUCUUUGGAAUAGGACAUCAUAGAGGGUGAGAAUCCCGUAUUUGACCUUUACUUUCAACUUUGUGAUACACUUUCAAAGAGUCGGAUUGUUUGGGAAUGCAGUCCAAAAUGGGUGGUAAAUUUCAUCUAAAGCUAAAUAUUGGCGAGAGACCGAUAGCGAACAAGUACCGUGAGGGAAAGAUGAAAAGAACUUUGAAAAGAGAGUUAAACAGUACGUGAAAUUGUCAAAAGGGAAGCGUUUGACACCAGUGUUGUUUUUCUGAAAAUCAAUUAAAGAACUGUUUAUGCUAAGCUGUUUAGACUUUAUCAGCUAUACUGUUUAGUUUUGAGCUUUUCUUUAAUGCACUUUUCAGUUAACAAGUCAACAUCAAUUUCUUUUGCUGUAAAAAAGCUUGAGGAAGGUGGCUUGAGAUUCGUCUUAAGUGUUUAUAGCCUCUUGCCUAUGCAGUCGGAGAGAUUGAGGUCUGCAGCGUAGAUCCUUCGGGGCUAAAUGCAUUUGUGCUAAGUUAUAGCAUUUUAUAGACAACUUGUUGACUAUGAUUUGUCUUGUAGCUUACUCGCUUAUGUUAUUUUACCUACGCUUAGGAUGUUGACGCGCGUGUGUGCGUG